CAUCCUAUAGUCAAAUAUUACUUUUUUUCUAAUGUCUUUUUACUAAGCUUGCAUUAGUACGUGUACUAGGUGUGCACCUGGGUAAGUUACUAAGCUAAUUUAUCCUCCACGUGCCCUCCCUUUCUCUAAAUCUCUCUCUCUCUCCUGUACUAUUUUGCACUGGAGUACUAGUACUUCUCAACCGAAGAAAAUACAGACUGGUACUAGUCCAAGUCCAACAAGAACACACGUACAAGACUCCUCUCCCUCCUAUCCCUCUGCUCCUAAUCCAGCCAUAUCGGCCAUGCCGCCGGCGAUAGGGAAGCUGCCGCUGCUGGAUCCACAACUCUGCUUCUUCCCUAGUGUUAAUCCCCAAUUUUCCUCCAUGGAUUUCUAUCACAAACUCUCUAAUCCCCCCUGUGUGUUUUAUUUUCUUGACUUGCAGGUCAAACCCUAUUGGGGAUGUGAUUCCCCCGCUCCAGAUCGAAGUCGCCGGUGUUGGGCGCCGCCGUGAUGCUGGAUGGUGCAGGUCAGAGCUCCAGUGCGUGGCCAUGGAGCGGAUCAAACAUUUGUGCAGGGGAAUGCUAGUGCUGCUGGGAAGAAGAGAGCUUGGUCUGGCUAUUUUGGGUAGAGCUGAGACGAGUGAAACUUGGCAGUUGCCUACUCUGCUCUCCUAGCCAUCUAAUAUCUGAUAUCCACCUCCCUUGGCGGAACCGAAUGGUCCUUGUCCUGAGCUUGCGGUCUUCAACUUCUAAGAUCUUCAAUGGUCGUUCUUCAUACGUCAGGGUCUUUUGGAGAUGGGUGAUGCCCCAGGCAUUAAAACAAUGCUGAACUCUAACUCCCUAUCAGGUGGCAUACCCGGCAGUUCAUCCGAAAAUACAUCAGGAAACUCACAAACUACAGGUCUGCUGAAAAUUUGGUGUUGUGGAUUAUUAUUGGUUGAUUUCUGCGCAUGGCCUCUACUGUAAUCUUCCCUCCAGGUCAAACCCUAUUGGGGAUGUGAUUCCCCCGCUCCAGAUCGAAGUCGCCGGUGUUGGGCGCCGCCGUGAUGCUGGAUGGUGCAGGUCAGAGCUCCAGUGCGUGGCCAUGGAGCGGAUCGAACAUUUGUGCAGGGGAAUGCUAGUGUUGCUGGGAAGAAGAGAGCUUGGUCUGGCUAUUUUGGGUAGAGCUGAGACGAGUGAAACUUGGCAGUUGCCUACUCUGCUCUCCUAGUCAUCUAAUAUCUGAUAUCCACCUCCCUUGGCGGGUAUGGCUGCCCAUCCCCUUCUCCAUUGUUCUCACAGGUGCUAGCUUCUAAUUGGCUGAAGGUUGAAGCCCAUACAUAGACUAUACUGUUGACCAACUGACUAUUAAUAUGGUGCACGUGAGGGUGGUGGUCCAUGUGUCUUGCUGUUCUGGUUGACCCAGAGAUAUUUUUGUGUUGGUCCAACUGUAUAGCUUAGCAUAGCAUGGUCUCCCUAUAUUUUUUCCAAAGAUUUGUAAUACACUUUUACAGCUAUACUAUCUGAGUUUUAUGAAUAUAAAUAUAUAUACUUGAGUGGUUAUGAUGCUUGUUGUAUAAA